CCUCAGCGGAGGAAGCUCGGGACCCUGGUAUCUCUCCCUCUGCCUCUCUCUAGCCGAAAGAACUUGCUUGCGGUGGAGAAGGCUAGCGGCAAUAAGAACAAGAUAAUAAUGAUAUCUUCCUCUUUGGCCUGUGCUCUGAAGUGAACAUGAGGCCACCAAUCUGGAAGGUCAAAACGUCUGGAGGCUCGGCUGACAAUCCACUACCUUCUGUCUUGUCUGAAAGUCUGCCGGAGUCACCGUCGUGCUUUGUAGCCUCUGCACAACCGUUUGCUCAUCAGCCUCCUCAUUCUCAAGUCUUUGGCCAGUGAUUUCCAAACAGAAGGGCUCCUGAGGCUGAGGCCCCCAUGGUGAGAAAGGCCUAGAGAUCACCAGUCCCACCUUUCUGCUGACAAGACCAGGGCUGCAGAGAACUCGAGGCACCAGUGCAUGGCAGACUCGGGACUGGAAGGGAACGUGUGCAACGUCUGCGGUGCUCUGAGCAGUAUCAUUCUGAGAAAGU